CGGUUGAUCCUGCCGGACCCUACUGCUAUCGGGGUGGGACUAAGACAUGCGAGUUGAGCGUCUCUAAGCUAUGGUAGAGACGCGGCGUACGGCUCAGUAACACGUGGCUAACCUACCCUUAGGACGGGGACAACCCCGGGAAACUGGGGCUAAUACCCGAUAGGCGAGGAGGCCUGGAAUGGUUCCUAGUCGAAAAGGCGUUGAAACCAUGCUUUUCGACGUCGCCUAAGGAUGGGGCCGCGCCCGAUCAGGUUGUUGGUGGGGUAACGGCUCACCAAGCCUAUAACCGGUACGGGCCGUGAGAGCGGGAGCCCGGAGAUGGGCACUGAGACAAGGGCCCAGGCCCUACGGGGCGCAGCAGUCGCGAAAACUCCGCAAUGCGCGAAAGCGUGACGGGGCUACCCCGAGUGCCGUCCGCUGAGGAUGGCUUUUCCCCGGUGUAAUGAGCCGGGGGAAUAAGGAGAGGGCAAGUCUGGUGUCAGCCGCCGCGGUAACACCAGCUCUCCGAGUGGUAGGGAUGAUUAUUGGGCUUAAAGCGUCCGUAGCCGGCUUAGCAAGUCUCCUGUUAAAUUCAGCGACCUAAUCGUUGAGCCGCGGGAGAUACUACUAGGCUAGGAGGCGGGAGAGGCCGACGGUAUUCUCGGGGUAGGGGUGAAAUCCUAUAAUCCCGGGAGGACCACCAGUGGCGAAGGCUGUCGGCUAGAACGCGCUCGACGGUGAGGGACGAAAGCUGGGGGAGCGAACCGGAUUAGAUACCCGGGUAGUCCCAGCUGUAAACGAUGCGGGCUAGGUGUUGGGGUGGCUACGAGCCACUUCAGUGCCGCAGGGAAGCCAUUAAGCCCGCCGCCUGGGGAGUACGGCCGCAAGGCUGAAACUUAAAGGAAUUGGCGGGGGAGCAC
rnacentral:rRNA from 1 species